GACGAACGCUGGCGGCGUGCUUAACACAUGCAAGUCGAACGGAAAGGCCCUGCUUUUGUGGGGUGCUCGAGUGGCGAACGGGUGAGUAACACGUGAGUAACCUGCCCUUGACUUUGGGAUAACUUCAGGAAACUGGGGCUAAUACCGGAUAGGAGCUCCUGCUGCAUGGUGGGGGUUGGAAAGUUUCGGCGGUUGGGGAUGGACUCGCGGCUUAUCAGCUUGUUGGUGUGGUAGUGGCUUACCAAGGCUUUGACGGGUAGCCGGCCUGAGAGGGUGACCGGCGACAUUGGGACUGAGAGACGGCCCAGACUCGUACGGGAGGCAGCAGUGGGGAAUAUUGCACAGUGGGCGGAAGCCUGAUGCAGCAACGCCGCGUGCGGGAUGACGGCCUUCGGGGUGUAAACCGCUUUCGCCUGUGACGAAGCGUGAGUGACGGUAAUGGGUAAAGAAGCACCGGCUAACUACGUG
rnacentral:rRNA from 1 species